UACAGAGGUCUCAAGCGUUGUUCGGAAUCACUGGGCGUAAAGGGUGCGUAGGCUGCACGGUAAGUCAGAGGUGAAAUCCCGGAGCUCAACUCCGGAAUGGCCUCCGAUACUGCCGUGCUCGAGGACUGGAGAGGAGUCUGGAAUUCACAGUGGAGCAGUGAAAUGCGUAGAUAUUGUGAGGAACACUAGUGGCGAAGGCGAGACUCUGGACAGUUCCUGACGCUGAGGCACGAAGGCCAGGGGAGCAAACGGG
rnacentral:rRNA from 1 species